rnacentral:rRNA from 1 species
UACGUAGGGUGCGAGCGUUGUCCGGAAUUAUUGGGCGUAAAGAGCUCGUAGGUGGUCCGUCACGUCGGGUGUGAAAAUCCAGGGCUCAACCCUGGACGUGCACUCGAUACGGGCGGACUAGAGUUCGGUAGGGGAGACUGGAAUUCCUGGUGUAGCGGUGGAAUGCGCAGAGUAUCAGGAGGAACACCCGGUGGCGAAGGCGGGUCUCUGGGGCCGAUACUGACACUGGAGGAGCGAAAGCCGUGGGGAGCGAACAGG